UUGUAAUUUGGAGAAGGUGCUUCGGGGGCGACGACGGUCCAAGUCCUUUGGAACUGGGCGUCAUAGAGGGUGAGAAUCCCGUAUGUGGCCGUCCGUCAAUCCCAUGUGAAGCCCUUUCGACGAGUCGAGUUGUUUGGGAAUGCAGCUCUAAUUUGGUGGUAAAUUUCAUCUAAAGCUAAAUAUCUGCCGGAGACCGAUAGCGCAAAAGUAGAGUGAUCGAAAGAUGAAAAGCACUUUGAAAAGAGAGUUAAAAGUACGUGAAAUUGUUGAAAGGGAAGCGCUUGCAACCAGACUCAACAGCGGGGGCUCAACCAUUCUUCGGGAUGGUGCACUCCCUCGCAGCUGGGCCAGCAUCGGUUUCGGCGGUGGGACAAAAGUCUCGGGAAAGUAGCUCUCUCCGGGGAGUGUUAUAGCCCGGGGUAUAAUGCCACCAGCCGGGACCGAGGACCGCGCAUUUGCUAGGAUGCUGGCGUAAUGGUUGCCAGCGACCCGUCUUG
rnacentral:rRNA from 1 species